rnacentral:rRNA from 1 species
AGAGUUUGAUCCUGGCUCAGGAUGAACGCUGGCGGCGUGCUUUAACACAUGCAAGUCGAGCGAAGCACUUAAGUUUGAUUCUUCGGAUGAAGACUUUUGUGACUGAGCGGCGGACGGGUGAGUAACGCGUGGGUAACCUGCCUCAUACAGGGGGAUAACAGUUAGAAAUGGCUGCUAAUACCGCAUAAGACCACAGUACUGCAUGGUACAGUGGUAAAAACUCCGGUGGUAUGAGAUGGACCCGCGUCUGAUUAGGUAGUUGGUGAGGUAACGGCCCACCAAGCCGACGAUCAGUAGCCGACCUGAGAGGGUGACCGGCCACAUUGGGACUGAGACACGGCCCAGACUCCUACGGGAGGCAGCAGUGGGGAAUAUUGCACAAUGGGCGAAAGCCUGAUGCAGCGACGCCGCGUGAAGGAUGAAGUAUUUCGGUAUGUAAACUUCUAUCAGCAGGGAAGAAAAUGACGGUACCUGACUAAGAAGCCCCGGCUAACUACGUGCCAGCAGCCGCGGUAAUACGUAGGGGGCAAGCGUUAUCCGGAUUUAUUGGGUUUAAAGGGUGCGUAGGUGGUGAUUUAAGUCAGCGGUGAAAGUUUGUGGCUUAACCAUAAAAUUGCCGUUGAAACUGGGUUACUUGAGUGUGUUUGAGGUAGGCGGAAUGCGUGGUGUAGCGGUGAAAUGCAUAGAUAUCACGCAGAACUCCGAUUGCGAAGGCAGCUUACUAAACCAUAACUGACACUGAAGCACGAAAGCGUGGGGAUCAAACAGGAUUAGAUACCCUGGUAGUCCACGCAGUAAACGAAGAUUUACUAGGAGUUUGCGAUACAAUGUAAGCUCUACAGCGAAAGCGUUAAGUAAUCCACCUGGGGAGUACGCCGGCAACGGUGAAACUCAAAGGAAUUGACGGGGGCCCGCACAAGCGGAGGAACAUGUGGUUUAAUUCGAUGAUACGCGAGGAACCUUACCCGGGUUUGAACGUAGUCUGACCGGAGUGGAAACACUCUUUCUAGCAAUAGCAGAUUACGAGGUGCUGCAUGGUUGUCGUCAGCUCGUGCCGUGAGGUGUCGGCUUAAGUGCCAUAACGAGCGCAACCCUUAUCACUAGUUACUAACAGGUGAAGCUGAGGACUCUGGUGAGACUGCCAGCGUAAGCUGUGAGGAAGGUGGGGAUGACGUCAAAUCAGCACGGCCCUUACAUCCGGGGCGACACACGUGUUACAAUGGCAUGGACAAAGGGCAGCUACCUGGUGACAGGAUGCUAAUCUCCAAACCAUGUCUCAGUUCGGAUCGGAGUCUGCAACUCGACUCCGUGAAGCUGGAUUCGCUAGUAAUCGCGCAUCAGCCAUGGCGCGGUGAAUACGUUCCCGGGCCUUGCACUCACCGCCCGUCA